rnacentral:rRNA from 1 species
GUGCCAGCAGCCGCGGUAAUACGAAGGGACCUAGCGUAGUUCGGAAUUACUGGGCUUAAAGAGUUCGUAGGUGGUUGAAAAAGUUGGUGGUGAAAUCCCAGAGCUUAACUCUGGAACUGCCAUCAAAACUUUUCAGCUAGAGUAUGAUAGAGGAAAGCAGAAUUUCUAGUGUAGAGGUGAAAUUCGUAGAUAUUAGAAAGAAUACCAAUUGCGAAGGCAGCUUUCUGGAUCAUUACUGACACUGAGGAACGAAAGCAUGGGUAGCGAAGAGGAUUAGAUACCCUCGUAGUCCAUGCCGUAAACGAUGUGUGUUAGACGUUGGAAAUUUAUUUUCAGUGUCGCAGGGAAACCGAUAAACACACCGCCUGGGGAGUACGACCGCAAGGUUAAAACUCAAAUGAAUUGACGGGGACCCGCACAAGUAGUGGAGCAUGUGGUUUAAUUCGAAUACGCGCAGAACCUUACCAACACUUGACAUGUUCGUCGCGACUCUAAGAGAUUAGAGUUUUCGGUUCGGCCGGACGAAACACAGGUGCUGCAUGGCUGUCGUCAGCUCGUGUCGUGAGAUGUUGGGUUAAGUCCCGCAACGAGCGCAACCCUCACUUUUAGUUGCCAUCAUUAAGUUGGGCACUCUGAAAGAACUGCCAGUGAUAAGCUGGAGGAAGGUGGGGAUGACGUCAAGUCCUCAUGGCCCUUACGUGUUGGGCUACACACGUGCUACAAUGGCAUCUACAACAGGAAGCAAAACGGCAACGUUAAGCAAAUCCCGAAAAGAUGCCUCAGUUCGGAUUGCACUCUGCAACUCGAGUGCAUGAAGCUGGAAUUACUAGUAAUCGUGGAUCAGCGUGCCACGGUGAAUGCGUUCCCGGGUCUUGUACACACCGCCCGUCACACCAUGGGAGUUGGUUCUACCUUAAGGCAAGGUUUUAAACCCUUGACCACGGUAUAGUCAGCGACUGGGGUGAAGUCGUAACAAGGUAGCCGUCCCUA